AUACGUAGGGAGCGAGCGUUGUCCGGAAUUACUGGGUGUAAAGGGCGUGUAGGCGGUUGAAUAAGUCUGGAGUGAAAGUCCCGGUUUCAAGUUGGGAACUGCUUUGGAUACUGCUCAACUUGAGUGCGGAAGAGGUAAGUGGAAUUCCCAGUGUAGCGGUGAAAUGCGUAGAGAUUGGGAGGAACACCAGUGGCGAAGGCGACUUACUGGGCCGUAACUGACGCUGAGGCGCGAAAGCGUGGGGAGCGAACAGGAUUAGAUACCCUGGUAGUCCACGCGGUAAACGAUGAAUGCUAGGUGUUGCGGGUAUCGACCCCUGCAGUGCCGGAGUAAACACAAUAAGCAUUCCGCCCGGGGAGUACGGCCGCAAGGUUGAAACUCAAAUGAAUUGACGGGG
rnacentral:rRNA from 1 species